UACGUAGGGGGCAAGCGUUGUCCGGAUUUAUUGGGCGCAAAGCGCUCGCAGGUGGUUCGUCGCGUCGUGCGUGAAAGACCCCGGCUCAACUGGGGGGCGUCGUGCGAAACGGGCGGACUGGAGGCCAGUAGGGGGAUGCGGAAUUCCGGGUGUAGUGGUGGAAUGCGUAGAGAUCCGGAGGAACACCAGCGGCGAAGGCGGCAUCCUGGACUGGUCCUGACACUCAUGAGCGAAAGCGUGGGGAGCGAUCCGG
rnacentral:rRNA from 1 species